UCUUUCUUUUGCUGGCGACCGGCGCACGGGUGAGUAACACGUAUCCAACCUGCCUUUACUCGGGGAUAGCCUUUCGAAAGAAAGAUUAAUACCCGAUAGUAUAAUGAUUCCGCAUGGUUUCAUUAUUAAAGGAUUCCGGUAAAGGAUGGGGAUGCGUUCCAUUAGGUUGUUGGUGAGGUAACGGCUCACCAAGCCUUCGAUGGAUAGGGGUUCUGAGAGGAAGGUCCCCCACAUUGGAACUGAGACACGGUCCAA
rnacentral:rRNA from 1 species